UACGUAGGGUGCGAGCGUUAAUCGGAAUUACUGGGCGUAAAGCGUGCGUGGGCGGUUCGUUAAGUUCGUUGUGAAAGCCCCGGGCUCAACCUGGGAAUGGCGAUGGAUACUGGCUCGCUAGAGUGCGGUAGAGGAGAGUGGAAUUCCCGGUGUAGCAGUGAAAUGCGUAGAGAUCGGGAGGAACAUCAGUUGCGAAGGCGGCUCUCUGGACCAGCACUGACACUGAGGCACGAAAGCGUGGGGAGCAAACAGG
rnacentral:rRNA from 1 species